UUCGUGAUGCAACGUUGUGCUACUUGAGCCAACGAUGUGCAUGAUGGCUUGCCCCCUGACCCAAUAAUAAACAUCGGCGCGGAUUGCGCCAAGGAAUAUGAGCAAAAAGCGUGCUUCCCCGCUUCCGGUUUCUCGGCAUGCGGCGGUAGCAACGUUUCACAUUAUAAACAAACGACUCUCGGCAACGGAUAUCUCGGCUCUCGCAUCGAUGAAGAACGUAGCGAAAUGCGAUACUUGGUGUGAAUUGCAGAAUCCCGUGAACCAUCGAGUCUUUGAACGCAAGUUGCGCCCGAAGCCAUUAGGCCGAGGGCACGUCUGCCUGGGCGUCACGCAUAGCGUCGCCCCUACACCCUACGCGUAGCAUGGGGUGAUCGGGGCGGAGAUUGACUUCCCGUUGGAUUCCUUCAGUGGUUGGUCUAAAACUAGAGCUCGGGGUGAGCUGUGUUGCGACGUUUGGUGGACGACGAGGCCUAUGCCAAGGUUGCAUCGCGUCGUGCAUGUGCUGCCCUCAAAGCUCAUACGACCCUAUUGAGCCGCAUAAAAGCAAA
rnacentral:rRNA from 1 species